GUCAGGGGGUCGCACCGGGCAGUGGGGGGAUGGGGUCGUCGUCGCUGUCGGUGUUCUCCUCUGUGGAGCCGCCAUAGGGGUCAUCGGGGGGCAGCGAGGUCACCCUGCGGGGUCACGGGGUCACCACGGGGUCACGGGGUCACCGCGGGGUCAGCACGGGGUCAUGGGACCACCCAGGGGUCACAGGGGUCACCAAGGGGUCAGAACGGGGUCACAGAAUCAUGAGAUCACCCAGGGGUCACUCAGGGUCACAGAGGUCACCCAGGGUCACCACGGGGUCACUCAGGGGUCACCCAGGGUCACAGGGGUCACCACGGGGUCGCCACAAGGUGAUGGGGUCACCACAAGGUCAUCACAGUGGGUACUUGGGGGGUCAGCAUGGGGUCACCAUGAGGUCAGAUGGGGGUCACGGGGUCACCGCGGGGUCACCACGGGGUCAGCCAGGGGUCACUCGGGGCCACAGGGGUCACCACAGGGUCACCGUGGGGUCAGCAUGGGGUCAAGGGACCAGCCAGGGGUCACUCAGGGUCACAGGGGUCACCCAGGGUCACAGGGGUCACCGCGGGGUCACCAAUGGGGUCUCACCGCCGCAAUUCGUCCUCUGUGUCCCCAGCGCUGUCCUCAGCGUCACCUGGGGGGGAACUGGGAUGGACUGGGAGGGAACUGGGAUGGGAACGGGGAUACUGGGAAGGACUGGGAGGGAACUGGGAUGGGAAUAGGGAUACUGGGAUGGACUGGGAGGGAACUGGGAAGACUGGGAGGGAACUGGGAUGACCCGGGAGGGGGCGGAGCUAAGCCAGGGAAGGGGCGGGACCAACGCAAAGCCCCUCCCACCUUCAGGAGUGUUGCCAUUGGACGAGGGCGGUGUCGGGGGGCGGGGCUUAGCCGUGGUAGCACCGCCCACAUGGGCGGGGCGUUGGUGGGAGGUGGGCGGAGCUUCAGUUGGCUCCUCCUCCCCGUCGCUGCCAGAAGAGGCGGAGCCACCCAGGAGGUAACUGUCGGAAGUGGGCGUGGUCAGCGGGCGUCCCGCCCACCGAGGGGCGUGGCCUCGUGUGGCCACGCCCACUUGUCUCAUAUAAGCCAUAAAUGGACCCCCCAGACCCCAUAGAAACCCCCAUAGGGACCCCCCAGACCCCACAGGG
rnacentral:lncRNA from 1 species